GUUUAAAAUAGAAAAUAACCGGUUGUGGAGGUUGUCUGGUUGGUCAUCAGAUGGCACCUUUAAAAGUUCUUGUUGCUGGUUCCAGUGGAUUUGUUGGACGACACCUGGUCCAAUACCUCUACAAAUCGGAAUGUCAGGUCAUUCACCUCAACAGGCGGACCAAGCCCUCCCGCAACAAGAAGGCCAUGGAAAUCACAUGGAGACAGGUCAAUGAUGUUGGAUUGCCAAAUGAUCUUGAUGUUAUCGUAAAUCUGUGUGGAUACAAUAUUCUUCAACCAUUUAAAAGAUUUGGUGCCAGUUACAAAGAGGAUGUAGAGAAUAGUCGCAUAGAGACCUCCAAAAUUCUGGCUGAUUAUUGUGAUUCCAAUCCACGUACACCUAAAGCAUUUAUAAACAUGUCUGGAGUAGCCAUUUACAAGCCUGACCCAGAGAUAGAGUACACGGAAGAUUCACCCGUUAAGCCGUACGAUUACAUGUCUAAUCUGGUCAAGGAGUGGGAGUUUGCAGCCAGAAUCCAUGACGACGUACAGGAAAGAUGUCGCCAGGUCAUCCUCAGAUCAGGGGUGGUUCUUGGUCGAGAUGGUGGCCUGAUACAAAACCAGUACUGGCAAUUCUUCUUCGGACUUGGCGGACCCAUCGGAAAAGGAACACAAUGGUUACCAUGGAUACAUAUAAGCGAUCUCGCUGGAUUAAUUCAUUUCUCCAUUUUCAAUGACCAGGUGAGGGGUGUGUUGAAUGCAGUGGCCCCUGAAUCCGUUACAAAUGAACAAUUCGCAAAAGCUUUUGGGGCUGCACUCGGCAGACCAGCGAUAUUACCUACUCCUAGCCUAAUGAUGAAAUUAGCAUUUGGAAGCGAACGAUCUGUGGUCAUCUUAGAGGGACAGAAAGUUAUUCCAAAAAGAACAUUAGAAAUGGGGUUUCAGUUUAAGUAUCCCACCAUUAAGAAGGCUUUGGAGCAGUGUUGUAAAUGAUUUAUUUACACAAUUUUAUUUGAGAUUGUGUGCUGAUAAACUUUAUUAUCAUAAAUAUUGUUAAAUUAAAUGGCAUUAAAUAUAUACGAAGUAUGUAUUGUGUUGCAAUGCUUUUUGAAAGAAAUAUAUUAAACCU
rnacentral:misc_RNA from 1 species